GACGAACGCUGGCGGCGUGCUUAACACAUGCAAGUCGAGCGGUAAGGCCCUCGGGUACGACGAGCGGCGAACGGGUGAGUAACACGUGGGUGACCUGCCCUUAGCUCUGGGAUAAGCCUGGGAAACUGGGUCUAAUACCGGAUAUGACCUCAUGACGCAUGUUGUGGGGUGGAAAGCCUUGUGCGGCUAGGGAUGGGCCCGCGGCCUAUCAGCUUGUUGGUGGGGUGAUGGCCUACCAAGGCGACGACGGGUAGCCGGCCUGAGAGGGCGACCGGCCACACUGGGACUGAGACACGGCCCAGACUCCUACGGGAGGCAGCAGUGGGGAAUCUUGCGCAAUGGGCGAAAGCCUGACGCAGCGACGCCGCGUGAGGGAUGACGGCCU
rnacentral:rRNA from 1 species